AUGAUCACAACUGAACAUCGGCAUGUAAAUGUCUUCAGACCAGGACUUUUACCAAACAUGCAAUGUUUUGGGCAGAUCAGACAUUGCAUGUUUAAGUUAAAUUGCGAAGGUUUUGAGUUUUUGUCAAGGGGUGUGUCCCCGGUGGCCUCACAAAAUUUGAUGUUUCGCCGUGAAACAGGAAGUUGCUGUAACUCAGGCAAGCAAUGUCCGAUCUGCCCCAAACUUUACAUGUGUGAUAGGUGUUCUGUCCUGAACAAACACUCAUGACCAAAUUCAGUUAUAGUCAUAGCGCCACCUGCUGGCAACAGGAAGUGACAUGGUUAAAACGGUUAUGGACUCCUAGGAUCAUAUUAAAAAGUGUCAACAAGUGUUAAAUAGACUGGAAACAUGCUAAAAACAUACUAAAACAUGCUAGCAACACUUACAGUAGGUGGACAUCCAAAACGUUGUUUCUACCACCGCUCGUUCCGCCGCCGCUGCGUCUGCAAAGUGCAUUUGCAGCUUUUGACCGCUGAGUGGCGCUUUAAUCACAAGUUUUCAAACAAGCGCAUCAAAACACAUUUUCGCAAAUAGACGACAGCUUUGCCUCGCUAAUGUGUUAAAUUUGACGGCUGCAGUCAGGGAAAAUGAAAGAAAAACACUAUAGUUAAAAAAUUUAAUAUUCACAGAUGAAAGUUUGGUAAUUAUGAAGUUAUGUGCAUUUCUUAGAAUGAAUUCAAGCAGGAUAAAUGUCAAGCCUGUGCCUGUGCUUAUAUUUUCUCUAAGCUACAAAGUAUUACACCAUAUUUUAGAUUUGAUACAUUUAAUAGGUGUGCAGUAUUAUUUAUAUAAUAUGAAUUAUGUGUUAUAUAAUUCAAAAUAAAUUGUGGUUUACUUUGCAUCAGAGCAUUAAAUGUGGUAGCCUAUUUUAGUGAGCUUGGCUACAUGGAUUUAUACGCAAAAUGUCAAUAUUCUCAUAUAUUAGGCCUAUAUUUUAAUUUAUAUUUUAAAAUUCCUUUAAUAAAACAACAUGCAUUUUUGUUAUUCGUUACCUGUCCUUUAUUUUUUUACAGACAACUUCUUGGGAAAAAUAUAUUUGUCUGUACACUGAUUAAGAAAUUGUUGCGUGUUUUAUAAAUUAUUUUCUUUAUUUUAGUAAAAACGUGAGGCACUGUAUAAUUUCAUUCCCAUUAUUUAGGCCUAAUUAAAACAAGAAACGAAUAAAUUAAAACUGCACGAUUUAGCUAAAUCAUUGAAAGUCUAAAGAAUGGACGGGUUAAUAAAACGUUCUCAUUUUUUUAAACUCAAGUUCUCUCAUUAAAAUCAACAAAAUACACACAAUGUAAAUAAGAGCUUCAUUAAUUGACAACUUCAGUGAUUUUAAAGGGAGCCUUC
ensembl:lncRNA